rnacentral:rRNA from 1 species
UGGGGAAUUUUGGACAAUGGGGGCAACCCUGAUCCAGCCAUGCCGCGUGUGUGAAGAAGGCCUUCGGGUUGUAAAGCACUUUCGGACGGAACGAAAUCGCGCGCGUUAACAACGCGCGUGGAUGACGGUACCGUAAGAAGAAGCACCGGCUAACUACGUGCCAGCAGCCGCGGUAAUACGUAGGGUGCGAGCGUUAAUCGGAAUUACUGGGCGUAAAGUGUGCGCAGGCGGCCGCGCAAGUCGAGUGUGAAAUCCCCGGGCUUAACUUGGGAAUUGCGCUCGAAACUAGGUGGCUGGAGUAUGGCAGAGGAAGGUGGAAUUCCACGUGUAGCGGUGAAAUGCGUAGAGAUGUGGAGGAACACCGAUGGCGAAGGCAGCCUUCUGGGCCAAUACUGACGCUCAUGCACGAAAGCGUGGGGAGCAAACAG